rnacentral:rRNA from 1 species
UACGAAGGGGGCUAGCGUUGCUCGGAAUCACUGGGCGUAAAGCGCACGUAGGCGGAUUGCUAAGUCAGGGGUGAAAUCCUGGAGCUCAACUCCAGAACUGCCUUUGAUACUGGCGACCUUGAGUCCGGGAGAGGUGAGUGGAACUGCGAGUGUAGAGGUGAAAUUCGUAGAUAUUCGCAAGAACACCAGUGGCAGAAGGCGGCAUCCUGGACCGGCAUUGACGCUGAGGCGCGAAAGCCAGGGGAGCAAAGCGGG